CAGGAGGGCCUGGAGGAAUGUUGUCCAUGGGGUUGCGAUGGGUCGGACACGACUUCACGACUAACAACAACAAGGAAUGAGGAAACUCCUGGCCAUGGAUCCAGUCUACCUGUGGAAGUAUACCACAGGUAGACUGGGGUAUAUCUGGAAGGAUGGACAGGAUGGUGGUGGCCACCUCCUAUAGUUGCAGCUGGCAGUGCCCCCCACAGGGGGCCCUGGAGAGGCCUGCCAGUUGCCCUCUUGCUGCAGCCAAUGCCAGCUCAGGAGAGUGGCUAGCUGGGCUCCCCAGAACCCCUGGGCAGGUGGAGUGGAGGAAGGGGUGGGCCCUCCUGUUGGGAGAGCACAGCAGCGCAAUUGCCCUGUCCUCUACCAACUGCACUGGGUACCAGUUGAGGUCUGAGCCCACUUUAAGGUGCUUACAAUUACAUAUAAAGACCUAAACAGCUUAGAGCCUGAUAUCGAAAGGAACACCUCCUCCAGCAUGCACCUACCUGGACCAUGAGCUCAUCUAUGAGGUCCUUCUCCAGGAGCCAACUUUAAAAGAGAGAAGGAAGUUGGCCACGAGGGGAAGGGCCUUCUUGGCAGUGGCACCCCGGAUAUGGAAUUGGCUCCUCGGGAAAGUGCACCUGAGGCCAACCCUUUCAGCACCAGGUUCAACUCUUUUUAUUCACCCAUUAUUUUAAUUGCUGAAUAGAAUGCUUUGAUUUUAUAUUGUUUUUAUCGUAUGAUGUUUGGUUGUUGAUGAUCAGUUGUUACUGUGUUGUUAUUAUUUACUUGGUUUGCUAUAUUUAAAUUUUUAUGAUUAUUACAUAUAUGCUUUACCUUGUGUUUUAUGCUGUUUUAAUCACUGUACUCCGUUCUGAGAGUGUCUACUAAAGAACGGUUUAUAAGAAUUUUAAAUAAAUAAGCAAAUAAAUAAA